AAAAACAAAUGAUCACGACAAGGAAGAAAAAAAAAAAAAAAAAAAAAAAAGCCGAUAUCUAAAUGUCAAUGUUCGGUGUCACAGGUUCGUACCAUCA
rnacentral:ribozyme from 1 species